UACGUAGGGGGCUAGCGUUGUCCGGAAUUAUUGGGCGUAAAGAGCUCGUAGGCGGUUUGUUGCGUCGGCUGUGAAAACCCGGGGCUCAACUCCGGGCCUGCAGCCGAUACGGGCAGACUAGAGUUCGGCAGGGGAGACUGGAAUUCCUGGUGUAGCGGUGAAAUGCGCAGAUAUCAGGAGGAACACCGGUGGCGAAGGCGGGUCUCUGGGCCGAUACUGACGCUGAGGUGCGAAAGCGUGGGGAGCAAACAGG
rnacentral:rRNA from 1 species